GACGAACGCUGGCGGCGUGCUUAACACAUGCAAGUCGAACGGUGAAGCGCCUUCCUUUUUGGUGGGUGUGGAUGAGUGGCGAACGGGUGAGUAACACGUGAGUAACCUGCCCCCUUCUUCUGGAUAACCGCAUGAAAAUGUGGCUAAUACGGGAUAUUCUGGGUCUGUCGCAUGAUGGGUCUGGGAAAGAUAUUGUUUCGGUGGGGGAUGGGCUCGCGGCCUAUCAGCUUGUUGGUGGGGUGAUGGCCUACCAAGGCGGUGACGGGUAGCCGGCCUGAGAGGGUGGACGGUCACACUGGGACUGAGACACGGCCCAGACUCCUACGGGAGGCAGCAGUGGGGAAUAUUGCACAAUGGGCGCAAGCCUGAUGCAGCGACGCCGCGUGAGGGAUGGAGGCCUGCGGGUUGUGAACCUCUUUCGCCAGUGAAGCAGGCCUGCCUCGUUUGUGGGUGGGUUGACGGUAGCUGGAUAAGAAGCGCCGGCUAACUACGUG
rnacentral:rRNA from 1 species